rnacentral:lncRNA from 1 species
GUUACAUUGUAGCAAAAUGGCGACUGUCAUUCACAACCCCCUGAAAGCGUAAGUAAGACUAAAAAAUGUACAUAUUCCGCGUGGUUUCAAUAUGAAAAAAAAGGCGCCUUCUGCGUGCAGAGCGCUGCCAAUGCACGGCGCUUGCAGGCGCCUCCAGCUGCGGCAGGGCUUCUCUCUUUUCUUUCUGCUCUUACUUCUUCAUCUUUUUUUUCCCUCCCAGCGCGCAGAUACGUCAGGAGAUGCAAUUAACAAAAAGAAAAUUAUUACAUUUGUGUUCUGCUUAAUUGGAGGACCGAGUCGGGGGGUGGGUAUAGUAGGACCUUGCCAGAGAAGGGAUGAUGGAUUCCAAAGGUCAGCCUCCCUCAGUGCUUCCCACCUGCCCACUGUUGGCCUGUGUAGUAGUGUGGAUUGGAAACUUUGUCUUAGGAACCCUGUCUCACUUGACUCUUGGUGGAAGGAGUUUCUGAGUUUUUCAUUAAAAAACCAAAAAUAAAUUCUGAGUUUUAGAAAGUGUGGCUGGCCUCUUUGCCUCUUUUGUGCUUUCUUGUGUCCAAGGGAGUGGGCUGCCCUGGAGAACUGGAUAAAAACUGCUUCCUGGGGUUCACUCUGAGUUGGAGGUCUCUCAUUCUCCCCAGUCCAGCCCUAUAUCAUUUAAUGGUUUUUAUUUUUAUGACUUUUUUUUUUGGUGGUGGUGGUGAUACUAGGGUUUGAACUCAGGGCCUCAUGCUUGCUAGGCAGGGCUUUACACUUGAGCCACUUUCCCAGCCCCCCCCCCCCUUUUUUUUUUCAGACUUUUUACUGCACCAACCUUUUUUGUGUUGGGUAUUUUUGAGAUAGGCUCUCUUGAUCUAUUUGCCUAGGCUGGCUUUGAACUGUGACUCUUGACCUCUGCCGACCGAGUAGCUAGGAUUACAGUUAUAAGCCACCAGCACCUGACUUUGUUUUAUUUUUCAAUAAGAGAUAGGCUGUCACUAUAGUGCCCAGGCUGGUCUCAACCUUGGUCAAGUGAUCCUCCUGCCUCAGCCUCCUGAGUAGCUGAGACUACAGCUGUAUACCACUAUUCCUGUCACAGUGGGGUUCUUGGAGCUGCUGCAGGAUGCUGGCUUUUAGGUAGGGCUCGGUUCAGGUUUAGCCAAGUCUUCCUGCCACAUGUAUGUCUUUAGGUAUGACUGGGAUCUGUACUUGGGAGAAUAAUUGCUGGUCUGAUCUCAGAGAGGAAGUGAAGAGGCAACUAGUACUUUCUCUAUGUGAGUGGCUUUCUCCUUCAGUCCCCAGUUCCCUAUUUCAUGCUCAACCACGCUCCCCACCCCACCUCCCACCUCCCAACCCAGCCCUUCCCCAUCCCA